AUGGUAGAAAAAUAUUACAUAACACCAUUACAGAACGUGAGCGAAAAUGGGAGUCCCUACGGUGCUAGCAGAGGCCUUUGCCGUUGUGGGGAGGACGAGUAUGUGUGCACUCUGCCGCCGGAGGUUAGGAAAGUGGCCUCCAGGGACCUGAUGGAGGACGAGGCCACGAGGGUCGCGGGCUGAAGGCCAUGAGGGAGUUCGUGCCAGGAACAACGGCCAUCACCAAGUGCAGAUACCUCUUUCUUCCCCACCCCCAAUUCAUAUACUUAAACCGCACCCGCCUCUCUUCUCUUUCUUUCUCCCAAUUCCUUUUCUCAAACCACACCCAUCUUUCUUGCAGACGGAACUUCCUGUUGCGAUUUCUCCGCAUGAAAAAGUUCAGGAUCCGCGAAGCUCAAGAACUGCUGGAGAAAUACCUUCACAUGCGCACGGAGAACACACACUGGUUCCACGGUCUCGACAUCAAGGACCCCAUGAUAGAGAACCUCAUUGACAGGGGGUACUUCUUUGCCCUGCCGGAGAGGGACGACUCCGGGAGGAGGGUGUUCUUCAGUGUUGCUGGCAGAAUGGAUCCAACCAAACACACACUUCAGAUCAAAUGAAGUCCAUGCAAAUUGCCUUCGAAUCCCUUUUAGAAGAUGAAGAAAAUCAGGUCCGAGGAUUCACAUACAUUUUUGACGAAAAGGAUGUUGGUCUUUCCAUUAUAUCACACUUUGGUCACCUGCUGAUGUCACUAAAGCUUUCCAAUGUUGUGAGAAAACCAUUCCAAUGCGGCACAAGGAGAUUCACUUUGUGAAUUUGCCCACGGCACUGUUUGCAAUUUUUGAAUUUGCUAAAACUCUUCUGUCAGAAAAGAUUAAGAACAGAUUCCAGGUACACAGUGACGAAUCCAAACUGCGCAAGAAAGUUCCCUUGAGGAUAUUGCCCAAAGAGUAUGGAGGAACAGUUCCUAUGGCUGAGAUGAUCAAAAUGUACAAAAAGGAACUAACAGCUGUAAGGUCUCGUGUACUGAUGUUGGAUAACAUGCACAUUGAGAAGAAAGUCAAGCACAAGAAGAUUGGAAAAGCUAUUAACACAAUCCAGAGGAACUUCAGGAAGCUUGAUAUUGAUUAGUUGUUAUAUUAUAAAUGAAAUCUGUUUUAAUUUUGUUUGUACUGUUCUCGAAUGAGAGAAAAAAGAAAAGUUUUACAAGUAAUGCGAGUACAAAAAUCAUGACACAGUUAUUCUCUACAUAUAUUUCUGACUUCACAUUAAAUAAAGGCUGUUUGCUUCACAAUAGAAUUAGCCGUGUACCUCAUCCUUUUUCUACUUCUUGUAGAAAAACACUGAGACACUGGUUGACUGUGAAGAAAUUACAAGUCUAACGUGUAAUGAAAGAAGAAGUUAAACACAGUAAUAGGAAAUAGGUCAUUAAAAGUGUCUUUACUUUAUAUCUUCAAGGACCGUGAAAUUCAGCAAACUGUGUCUGUGAUGGUAUGAAUAUUUAUGUCGCAAUCUAAAGUGUGUGAUUAGAAGAAAUCUAAGUGUAGAGGCAUUAGUAAUAUAGAAAUAAUUAGGAAACUGUAAUGUGAGUAUCUGCUCAACAUAUGCUAUGCUUAGCAUGCUAUUGAAUGCAUCUCGUGUAACACACAAUCUGUGUACUUUCAGGUGUUUUUAUAGCUAUUUAUUUUUUCCCGUUGCCUCAACUAAGACACAUUCUUUAUAGAAAAUAACUCAGAAAAAGUGCCAUGAUUAAGGGAAUAUCAACUAUAUAUUAAUAUACUGAUAGUAUGUACAACACAUUUUGAUGACUUCUGUCUAUGCAAUGCCAGGUCUUUCAUAGCGUUAAUAGUGAUCAUCAUAUUGUCAGUAAACCAUCAUUCAUCGAUCACGAACUCUAGUCAUAUUUUAAGAGUUCUUAGCACUCAUUUUCCACAUUUAGAAUACACCAUAUCCAACACUUAUAGAGUGAAGAUUGCAUUACUUGUUAUGCAGUGUAUAGCAGUAUGAUUGCCUUUCAUUGCUGUGUUAAUUUAUAUUUAUUAUCUUGACUAAAGGGGUGAAUGAAUGAGAGAUUAUGCAGUUUUUGUAUGUAACUUUAGACAUUUAGGUGUGAAUGCUGUAAUGUAAAUACUUAUCACUGAAAAAAAAUAAAUGCUUAUGAAAGAUUUAA